rnacentral:rRNA from 1 species
UACGUAGGGUCCGAGCGUUGUCCGGAAUUACUGGGCGUAAAGAGCUCGUAGGUGGUUUGUCGCGUUGUUCGUGAAAACUCACAGCUCAACUGUGGGCGUGCGGGCGAUACGGGCAGACUUGAGUACUGCAGGGGAGACUGGAAUUCCUGGUGUAGCGGUGAAAUGCGUAGAUAUCUGGAGGAAUACCGGUGGCGAAGGCGGCAUCCUGGACCGACAUUGACGCUGAUGAGCGAAAGCCAGGGGAGCAAACGGG